AAAGAUAGAAAAAAGAUAGCAGCUGCGGCUUCUUCUUCAAACCACAAAACGCAGGCCUAAGGCUAUGAGCAAGAAACACAAAAAAAUGAGAUCUGGACCAUCGUUUCUUUGAAAAAAAAAAUAAAGAACUGAAAAAUAAAAAGGGAUCUCCUUCUUCAUGAAGAUGGAAUGAAAGCGGAACCCUAGACACCCAUCAACACCCAUCGCUGUCCUCCCUUCUAUUUACCAGAAAUCGUCGGAAAAACACGCACACACACAGAGCCGCUACUAGCCUCUGACUCGCCGAAAACAGCAGCCAGACCACCUGAAAACGACCACCAUUUCCAGAUCUAAAGCUCGAGCUCGAACCAGCCCCCAAACCCACGUAAAUCUCCAAUAAAGCAGCCUUUGUGACGUCCAAAACUGUCGUCCAAGCUCAGUCGAGCGGAAUCCAGUAAGUCUGGGAGUUGAGGCAGGCAAGGUUUGUCGAGGUUUCAUCAAUGGGUUUCGGUUCAAGAAUUUGUCCUGUUCGCGUUCCUGGUUUCUCGUCCUUUGCGGAACAAAAAGCCCGAUUUGCUUUGUAAUCUGAGCUCGAGAUCUUGUGAAUCGAAAAUUGCGGCUGUUUGAGGAAUGUUGGAGAAUUGGACUUAAAUGAAGAAAUCUAACUUAAAAGAAGUGUUCCGGCUCAUAAGGAAAGAAGGAGCGCAUAAGUCAAAAGUGUGGUCCGCAUAAGUAAUUCUGCGGCCGCAGAACUGAUGUUGAUGCUCAGAUGAUAAUUGAAGUAAAGUGAAGACCGCGCACAAUUUGUGCGGCUGCUGAACAUGGUCGCACUGAUAAGAAUUCAAAAAGUUCAGAGAGUUUGCAAAACGACCAAGUAUGAACGUUGCCAAGGGUGUAGCCACAGAAGGAAAAGUGAGGCUGCAAAAGUUAAAGUGCUGCCACAGACCAAAUUGUGUGGCCGCCAUAAUCUUCAAUCUGUAGAGCCAAGUGAAGUGCGGACCGCACAUGGAAUUGUGCGACCGCCGAUCCUCCCGAAGGGUAUAUUUGUCAGCGAAUUUUGGGCCACUAUAAAUAGACGAGAGUCACUUUUUUAGGUCAAGUUUGAUAGUUUUUUGAGUUGUUGCCGUUGUAGUUUACCAUUUUUGGUAAUUUGUGACCAAUUUGGGUUAAAAACACAUUAGUUUAUCAUUUGGAUUUGCUAUUAUGGGUUUAAUUAGUAUUUUUUUCUUUAUUUUUUUCUAUUUCCAUUUUGAGUAACAAGAUAUUUUCUAGGGUUGUGACAAAAUCCUAGUGUGUAAACCUUAUGGAUAAUUAAUCGAAUACUUAUUUAUGAU